rnacentral:rRNA from 1 species
GACGAACGCUGGCGGCGUGCCUAAUACAUGCAAGUCGAGCGAAUCAAUAGGAGCUUGCUCCUGUUGGUUAGCGGCGGACGGGUGAGUAACACGUGGGCAACCUGCCUGUAAGACUGGGAUAACACCGGGAAACCGGUGCUAAUACCGGAUAAUCCUUUUCCUCUCAUGAGGAAAAGCUGAAAGUCGGUUUCGGCUGACACUUACAGAUGGGCCCGCGGCGCAUUAGCUAGUUGGUGAGGUAACGGCUCACCAAGGCGACGAUGCGUAGCCGACCUGGGAGGGUGAUCGGCCACACUGGGACUGAGACACGGCCCAGACUCCUACGGGAGGCAGCAGUAGGGAAUCUUCCACAAUGGACGAAAGUCUGAUGGAGCAACGCCGCGUGAGCGAUGAAGGCCUUCGGGUCGUAAAGCUCUGUUGUUAGGGAAGAACAAGUACCGGAGUAACUGCCGGUACCUUGACGGUACCUAACCAGAAAGCCACGGCUAACUACGUGCCAGCCGCCGCAGUAAGAC